rnacentral:rRNA from 1 species
UCCUUUCUUAGGGGAGGCAGCAGUAAGGAAUAUUGGUCAAUGGACGAAAGUCUGAACCAGCCCAUGCCGCGUGGAGGAUGAAGGUCCUGUGGAUUGUAAACUUCUUUUAUAUGGGGCGAAAAAAGGAUUUCUAAGUCGUAUGACGUACCAUAGAAUAGCCCCCACUUCC